rnacentral:rRNA from 1 species
GACAGAGGGUGCAAACGUUGCUCGGAUUUACUGGGCGUAAAGCGCGUGUAGGCGGGCGACUAAGUCGGAUGUGAAAUCCCUGGGCUCAACCUAGGAACUGCAUUCGAAACUGGUCACCUAGAGUGAUGGAGAGGAAAGCGGAAUUCCCGGUGUAGAGGUGAAAUUCGUAGAUAUUGGGAAGAACACCGGUGGCGAAGGCGGCUCUCUGGACCGAGACUGACGCUGAGGCGCGAAAGCGUGGGGAGCAAACAGG